rnacentral:sRNA from 1 species
UCGGUGUCUGCGGCAACCUGCCGUUCCUU